CGGUGGGCAAGAUAGAGGACUAAGCCCAGGCACGCACCCCUGGCCAGGUGGGGUUCCCACCCCCGCUCAGCCUUCUCUCUGCAUGGAUGAUGAAGGACCAGGCCCACCUGAAGUUCUGAGCUUGAGCAGUAAGGUGGAAACAAAGAAACCAAUGGAAUCAGAGAAGCAAGUGAUUGUGAAAAGGAUAACCAGCGUCUGGUCCCGGUAAAAGGCAAGUGAUUGGAGUUUCUUUCCAGUUUGGAAACAUCUGGACAGGCCCAGAUUGAACAGGGUCCAGGGUGAAGGACCAAGCCUGUCCCAUUGGCCAUACUGUGUGUCAUGUCCUGGGACCCACUGGAUGCUCAGCACCUGAAGAAGAAGAUUGUCUUAGACACAUGAAAUGUGAGGACGCCUACUGUCCCCUCGGAACCCAGGUGGGGCUGGGAGUCUGCUGUUUGUACAGCCAGUGGGCUCGUGUUGCUUUGGGCAUCCCUGUGCCUGAAUUCCUGCAGUACACUCGGUGGUAAGGACGGGGGUGCCUGGCAGGGAGGGAAGCGGGUCGGGAGACUGCACAGCUGGGGAGAUGUUAACCUGGGGUGAGUGGGAGCCUGCUGAUGCAUGGCAUGUCGGUGCAGGGAACUCUCCACACUCAGAGGGGUUACCACUUCCUCAGGGGCCCUUUGAUCAGGGUGCUGGGCUGUCAGGGGACUGCGGGGUCCCAGUGAGGAUUAUGGUGCCUUCAGGCAAUGGGAAGUGAGGGGUCCAGUGGCACUUAUAUUAACUGUGCACCCAAACCCAGCCCCCACCUCUUUCAGCCUGUUUCCUAAUCUGCUAAACUGGAAUGAUAUUAACCAUCCUGCGGGGUCGUUGAUGGGCUGGGACAGACUAGACUGUCAGGAGCUGGAAUUCCUUUGUCCCCUGACUGUUUUCCUUCUUUCUGACUAUUUGCUCUCACAAGCUCAGUCUCUCUGUCCGUCUCUCUUUAACUUCUAACUUUCUCUCAUGCUCUGGUUUCAUUUGAAUUCCAACCACCGCCCCUCUCCGUCGCCAAUCCCCAGAUGAGUGAACUUGAUUUCUGUGUGUCAGUUCCAAAUUCCCAGGAAAGAUGCUCUGUCUCCCUCUGGAUCUGUUGUCCAACCCAUCAGUUGUGGCCAGAGGAGCGAGUCCCUCUGGGACCAGCGGAGGGUCUCUGCCUGUGAAGGAAAAGCCCAGCUGGGCUAACAAGCUAAGUCACAAAUCUAAGUGUAACAAGUGUCUGAUUACUGAUCUGAGUUCUGCUGGGCUAACUGGUAAAUCUGAAGUUUAGUGUCAGUUUACUGGGCUAACAAGCUAACUCGUAAAUCCAAGCUCAACAAGUGUCAGUAACGUGAUCUGUUCCGAAUUGAUAAGCUUCAGUGUACUGAUUCCUUGCUUUUUGUUGUUUGAGCCUUAUUGGCUAAUAGCCCAUACUUGUAAUUAACCCUAUAAAACCUCAUGUGCACGUCUUGGAGGUGCUCAGAGCUUCGGAGCAGAAGCCCCUCUGAGCCCGCCGGCGUAAUAAAUCUGAGUACUCCAA